rnacentral:rRNA from 1 species
UGGGGAAUUUUGGACAAUGGGGGCAACCCUGAUCCAGCCAUUCCGCGUGAGUGAAGAAGGCCUUCGGGUUGUAAAGCUCUUUCAGCAGGAACGAAACGGUCGGCUUUAAUAAAGUCGGCUAAUGACGGUACCUGCAGAAGAAGCACCGGCUAACUACGUGCCAGCAGCCGCGGUAAUACAUGUGGGGCAAGCGUUGUUCGGAAUUACUGGGCAUAAAGGGUGCGUAGGCGGUUUGUUAAGUCACUGGUGAAAGUUUGCGGCCCAACCGUAAAAUUGCCUGUGAUACUGGCGAACUUGAGUGCGUGAGGGGUAGGGGGAACGAGCAGUGUAGCGGUGAAAUGCGUAGAUAUUGCUCGGAAGGCCGGAGCCGAAGGGGCCCUACUGGUACGUAACUGACGCUGAGGCACGAAAGCGUGGGGAGCAAACAGGAUUAGAUACCCCCGUAGUCCCUGAGCGGGCUGGCAAGGCGCAU